rnacentral:rRNA from 1 species
UACAGAGGGUGCAAACGUUGUUCGGAAUUACUGGGCGUAAAGCGCGCGUAGGCGGACCUGCAAGUCGGGGGUGAAAGCCCGAGGCUCAACCUCGGAACUGCCUUCGAUACUGCGGGUCUCGAGUCCGGGAGAGGUGAGUGGAAUUCCUAGUGUAGAGGUGAAAUUCGUAGAUAUUAGGAAGAACACCAGUGGCGAAGGCGGCUCACUGGUCCGGUACUGACGCUGAGGUGCGAAAGCGUGGGGAGCAAACAGG